CUGUGCGAAUUACAAUGCGAAGAAGAGGAGGAGGACGACGAUGACCGCGAGCUUCAUGGGUUUAUAGAUACUCCUUGGCAGCCAGUCUUUGUAUGGAGUCCACCGUGAUCUACUGUAUAGAGGGUCCAGUGACUACUAGGGGGUCUCUGCAAACUUUCAAUGAGGACCAUUAGACUUCUUGAGAAGGAUUGGCUCAGGGAAGGAUUGACUGUAACCAUCUCACCCCAACCCCUGGGUGCAUCAGCAUUGGAUAUUAUGGGUUAAACCUCCUGUCUAUUGUUUAGGGUCACUAAUGGUUAAAGAAGUGGACUUGUGUUCAGAUGGAUGAAGAUUCAGUCUCAGUACUAGCAGGGAUUGUACAUGUUGGGAUUGAAUAACCAGCACUCUCAACACACUCUAUACCAGUGGUGGGCAAACUUUUUAGACCUGAGGACCACAUUAAGUUUUGCAAACUAAGUGAAGGGCCACUUGUCAAAUUCUUCAAAAAAUAACUUUAUUUAUAGUGGCAGUAUGCAUGAAACCUGUAAUAUCAGACAGCAACAUGUCACAUUAACACAAAACAGACUUUUUUAUAUUAUUAAGUCAAAUUUACAAGUCAAAUUAAUUUGCACUGCUAUUUAUAUUUACUUAUCAAUUAUCAUAAAACAAUAAAAUAAUCCCUUAUAAAGUAUAAUAAUAAUAAUGUAAUAAUUUUUACUGUGGAAAAUAGAAAAGAUAUUGUCUGAUAGAAAACAAAUCUCAUAUUAACACAUUAUAAAUAAUUCUUAAAGUUUACUAUUCAGUCAAGUUUACAAUAAUCUAAUUUGCACUGCUUUUAGAAUAUAUCAAUCAUAAUAAAACUUGAUAAAACCAUAAAACUUUGAUAAAAUAACUUUAAAGUGGAUGUGUGCAUGGAAAAUAUAUUCUAUGACAAAAACUCAUUUAACCAGCAAUUAUUAUAUAAUUUGAGUCAAAUUUACAACAAUCUGAUUUGAGCUUGUGUUAAUAUGCUCAUAUCAAUCAUAAAACUAUGAGAUAAAACGAAAGAAGAAUCUUAGUCUUUUUUUAUUCUAAGUCAAGUUAUUAUGAGUGUGUUAAUGUGAACAAUGAGCCUGGUCCCCUCUCUUCGCAAGGGUGUCAAAGUCUGGAGUCGGCUACGAUUAAAAACGUGAGGCGCAGCCGGUGGUUAAAACGCGAGGUGUGUAGAGCACAUAAGCAGCGCGCAAAACCGUCGCAGCCGAUAGUAAACCGUUCAAAAUAGGCACCUCUUAACGCAUAAAUCGCUUUCCGUGUGAUCAUCCUUUUAGAUUGUAGUCUUUAAAAACAGCAAUACUUUCUUGGCAUAUUAGACCUACUGCUUUCUGUCCGAUAUUGGUGAAGUAUUUUGUUGUUCAUUUUUCCUUAAACACACAACAUACAGAGUC